GGACGGGUGAGUAACACGUGAGAAUUUGCCUUUAGGAAGGGAAUAACAGUUAGAAAUGGCUGCUAAUGCCCUAUAUGCUUUAUAGUGAAAGGAGUAAUCCGCCUGAAGAAAAGCUUGCGCCUGAUUAGCUUGUUGGUAAGGUAAUGGCUUACCAAGGCGACGAUCAGUACCUGGUCUGAGAGGAUGAUCAGCCACACUGGAACUGAGACACGGUCCAGACUCCUACGGGAGGCAGCAGUGGGGAAUUUUCUGCAAUGGGCGAAAGCCUGACAGAGCAAUACCGCGUGAGGGAUGACAGCCUUUGGGUUGUAAACCUCUUUUUUCAAGGAAGAAGAUCUGACUUUACUUGAAGAAUAAGCAUCGGCUAACUCCGUGCCAGCAGCCGCGGUAAUACGGAGGAUGCAAGUGUUAUCCGGAUUUACUGGGCG
rnacentral:rRNA from 1 species